rnacentral:rRNA from 1 species
GACGAACGCUGGCGGCGUGCUUAACACAUCCAAGUCGAACGGAAAGGCCCUGCUUUUGUGGGGUGCUCGAGUGGCGAACGGGUGAGUAACACGUGAGUAACCUGCCCUUGACUUUGGGAUAACUUCAGGAAACUGGGGCUAAUACCGGAUAGGAGCUCCUGCUGCAUGGUGGGUGUUGGAAAGUUUCGGCGGUUGGGGAUGGACUCGCGGCUUAUCAGCUUGUUGGUGGGGUAGUGGCUUACCAAGGCUUUGACGGGUAGCCGGCCUGAGAGGGUGACCGGCCACAUUGGGACUGAGAUACGGCCCAGACUCCUACGGGAGGCAGCAGUGGGGAAUAUUGCACAAUGGGCGGAAGCCUGAUGCAGCAACGCCGCGUGCGGGAUGACGGCCUUCGGGUUGUAAACCGCUUUCGCCUGUGACGAAGCGUGAGUGACGGUAAUGGGUAAAGAAGCACCGGCUAACUACGUG